CAGCAGCCACGGUAAUACGUAGGUGGCGAGCGUUGUCCGGAAUUAUUGGGCGUAAAGGGAGCGCAGGCGGACAUAUAAGUCCAUCUUAAAAGUGCGGGGCUCAACCCCGUGAGGGGAUGGAAACUGUAUGCCUUGAGUGCAGGAGAGGAAAGCGGAAUUCCCAGUGUAGCGGUGAAAUGCGUAGAUAUUGGGGGGAACACCAGUGGCGAAGGCGGCUUUCUGGACUGUAACUGACGCUGAGGCUCGAAAGCCAGGGGAGCGAACGGGAUUAGAGACCCCCGUAGUCCCUGUCUCUUAUACA
rnacentral:rRNA from 1 species